rnacentral:rRNA from 1 species
ACUCCUACGGGAGGCAGCAGUGAGGAAUAUUGCGCAAUGGAGGCAACUCUGACGCAGCCAUGCCGCGUGCAGGAAGACGGCCCUACGGGUUGUAAACUGCUUUUAUCCGGGUAAGAAUCCCAGCUUCGUGAACUGGGUUGACGGUACCGGAGGAAUAAGCACCGGCUAACUCCGUGCCAGCAGCCGCGGUAAUACGGAGGGUGCAAGCGUU